GAUGAACGCUGGCGGCGUGCCUAAUACAUGCAAGUCGAGCGAACAGACGAGGAGCUUGCUCCUCUGACGUUAGCGGCGGACGGGUGAGUAACACGUGGAUAACCUACCUAUAAGACUGGGAUAACUUCGGGAAACCGGAGCUAAUACCGGAUAAUAUAUUGAACCGCAUGGUUCAAUAGUGAAAGACGGUUUUGCUGUCACUUAUAGAUGGAUCCGCGCCGCAUUAGCUAGUUGGUAAGGUAACGGCUUACCAAGGCAACGAUGCGUAGCCGACCUGAGAGGGUGAUCGGCCACACUGGAACUGAGACACGGUCCAGACUCCUACGGGAGGCAGCAGUAGGGAAUCUUCCGCAAUGGGCGAAAGCUUGACGGAGCAACGCCGCGUGAGUGAUGAAGGUCUUCGGAUCGUAAAACUCUGCUAUUAGGGAAGAACAAAUGUGUAAGUAACUAUGCACGUUUUGACGGUACCUAAUCAGAAAGCCACGGCUAACUACGUG
rnacentral:rRNA from 1 species